rnacentral:rRNA from 1 species
GUACGGGAGGCAGCAAUUAGGAAUCUUGCGCAAUGGGGGCAACCCUGACGCAGCGACGUCGCGUGAAGGAUGAAGGUCCUCGGAUCGUAAACUUCUUUUAAGAGGGAAGAAAUUUGACGGUACCUCUUGAAUAAGCCCCGGCUAACUACGUGCCAGCAGCCGCGGUAAUACGUAGGGGGCGAGCGUUGUCCGAAGUUACUGGGCGUAAAGCGCGCGUAGGCGGUUUCUUAAGUCUGGGGUGAAAGGUUCAGCGCUCAACGCGAACAGUGCCUUGGAAACUGGGGAACUUGAGUCUGGGAGGGGGCAGUGGAAUUCCUGGUGUAGCGGUGAAAUGCGUAGAUAUCAGGAGGAACACCGGUGGCGAAGGCGGCUGCCUGGCCUAAGACUGACGCUGAUGUGCGAAAGCGUGGGGAGCGAACGGGAUUAGAAACCCGAGUAGUCCG